UCCUGCGGAUUUGGCCAAAUAAUACACUGAACUAACCACCUAAAUACACAUGACUAACCAUAAAGCACAUAACCGUGUAAACUCAGUUGAAAUUCCUAAAUUCAAUUUUACACGGUUCUGUGCUUUAUGGUUAGUCAUGUGUAUUUAGGUGGUUAGUUCAGUGUAUUAUUUGGCCAAAUCCGUAGGA
rnacentral:pre_miRNA from 1 species